rnacentral:rRNA from 1 species
CCGACGGUGAGGGACGAAUGCUGGGGGCGCAAACCGGAUUAGAUACCCGGGUAGUCCCAGCAGUAAACGAUGCCAGCUAUGUGUUGCUGGAACCAUGGGUUCCAGCAGUGCCGAAGGGAAGCCGUGAAGCUGGCCACCUGGGAAGUACGGUCGCAAGGCUGAAACUUAAAGGAAUUGGCGGGGGAGUACCACAACCGGUGGAGCCUGCGGUUUAAUUGGAUACAACGCCGGGAAUCUUACCGGAGGGGACAGCAGUAUGAAGGCCAGGCUAAAGACCUUGCCAGAUCAGCUGAGAGGAGGUGCAUGGCCGUCGCCAGUUCGUACCGUGAGGCAUCCUGUUUAGUCAGGCAACGAUCGAGACCCGCAGUCUUAUUUGCCAGCAUGCCCUUUGGGGUGUAUGGGUACAAUAAGACGACCGCCAGCGCUAAGCUGGAGGAAGGAGCGGGCUACGGUAGGUCAGCAUGCCCCGAAUCCUCCGGGAUACACGCGGGCUACAAUGGUCAGGACAAAAGGUACCGACCUCGAAAGAGUGAGGUAAUCCACAAACCUGAUCUCAGUCCGGAUCGAAGGCUGCAACUCGCCUUCGUGAAGAUGGAAUCGGUAGUAAUCGUGACUCAAAAUG